CAAGUCCCCGCGCGGCGGAGUAGCAAGGCGGGCGGGUAGAGGCCGACGCGCGCCCAUUGGCCGACUCGGCUGCGGGCGUCCCCGUGGCCACGUGACAAUAACACCGCUCCAGCCGGGGGCCUACGCGCGGGAGAAAGUGGAGCUGAGAUUGUAGGAAAUUCAGAGUUAUAUUUUCCAGCCUCUCCAGCCAGAAGUCUCCACUACGUCGUGGGAAACAUAUAUCAAAUGGAGUUGAAAGGCAAAAGGAAGUGAUCAGCGCCACAAGAUGUUGAAACUAAUGGAGACCGCAGAGAUCAUGUGCUAAGGGGCCUUCCUCCUCUGGGGUGGGAGAAGGAAUGUUCUCUGGAGAAAUCUGUAUGAUAGAAUAGUGAAGGUAACUGGCCUGAACUACAGCUCUUGAGCCAUCUGGUUUCACCUUCAGGGAGGUGCAGAGAGUGCUGGAAUGGAGGGUUAAUUGACCAUGGUGGAAAAGAGAGAAACAUUUUGAGGUCCCACUGAAGCUGAAUGACUGUGCAGGUUGAUACACUGGACAUUUUCGGUGAAACCUGUGUGAACAGACAACUGGAGGGUCAGAUGAUUUAUCCUCUCCCCAGUACCUUGGCACAAGCCUAGGCUACAGAAUGAGAUGCACGUAAGAAGUCUGUGACCUGGACCAGAGCAGCCCAGCUGAACACAUGCUGGAUUGGAAGAACCACCUUUGACCUGAAGACCUGUGAGUGAGAAUAAAUGCUGUUUGAGAAAGGAGUUUGGAGACAGAAAGACGGAAGAGUUGAUAUUCCGCUCACAGAUGUCAAUUUUCAAAGAAAUUUCUGCCCAUUAUGGAUGCACCACAAAUACUAAAGUCUAUGCAAUAUAUAUUUUGAAAAGAAUUUUUUUCGUGAAACUGUAAUUUUCGUUCAUAAGAGUAUAUUUCCUGACUUAGCAUUUUAUUGACUAGAUUAAAAUUUUGUUCCCCAAAGUAAGUGUGUGUGUGUGUGUGUGUGUGUGUGUGCACGCACACGUGUGUGUGCAUUCCUGAGGAUUAUUCUAAGGCUGAACUCCUUCAUAGAAAUGGAAUUUUUCUCUCUAUGCUCACAUUUUAAAACAGCUCACACAAGCCAGGCAGAAACUGCCAACCCCUUGGUUUCUAAUUCUUUGUGCUAGUUCUAUUAGAAGGGGCAAGUGUAAUCUGACAAUGGGAAACAAUACACCCUUUCUCAUAUUCUUUAUCAACAUACAUAAACUGGAAGAAAGAAAAAGAAAGAGAGGGGUACAGAGGGAGGAAAGGAGGAAGAAAAAAGAUAGGAGGGGAAGUAGGAAGAGAGGAGAAGGGGACUGUAGUGGGGGAAAGAGAGGAGAGACAGAAUCUUUCCACUAAAGUUAGCAUCUGAGAGAGAGGCCCACGGAAUUGAUUUUUUUUUUUUUAUCCCUUUGGCAAACCAGCAUUUGGUCUUUGCUUUGGUUAUCCUGAGAUAGUGCUUUGUUUACCUGAGCUAGCUGGCCAUCUCAGCUGUGACAAUUUAAAAUUAGGCCACUAUUUAUAAUUCAAGCUAUGUGUAAACAAAACAAAACACAAUACAACCAAUGAAGGAGGUUUGUUUGUUUGUUUUUUUAAAAGGUAGGGGCAUUUUGUAAAUCAGACAGAGAUAGCUUUCUUGAAUAAAAUGACAUUUUUAGUUAUUUCUUUGUCUUGAACUUUCUCCUGAGACACCUUCUGGCUCACUAGUCACGAGGAACUGAAGAGGAACUGAAGGAAUUCUAAACAUCCCCAAAGCCUCUAGUGAUUCUCCAGAUGUGUCUUUUCAAGAGGCUGGCGACUUGUAGGGAGGGUGGAUAUACCUUAAUUAUUCAGUCACUUUUAACGUUUUACCUAAACUAUUUGUCAAAUAAGUAGUUUUUGCAUUGCUUUAACUGUAUACAGCCAUCAUUUGAUUAUACAUUCUAUCAAAGAUUGAUUGCCUGAUUUCAGGUUUAAUUUUAAGAUUUAAAUGACUGACUCCUUAGCUUGCUCAGUUGUAUUCUUUGUCUCUGAUUACUUACUCCAUAGAACACUGCUUACCUUUAAAUAAAAUGUAUUAAACUCCUUUGUUUUCAGAAUCUCUAAUAUUCAUGCCUAUUGGGGAUUCAUACCCUAAUAACUUGGGCUACUAGUCUGUCAUAAAAUAUAAACUCCAGCCAUAUUAAAUAUGGUAGACUUGCCCUAAAAGUCAGAUUUAUACCUUCAAUAUACCAUGGAAUUUGUAAUACAAAUAAAUUCCUUUUUUUAUAUUGGUUUUAAAAUAAGAAAUUGUAGUCUCUUGAGUUCUAGAGUUUCUGUAAGAACAACAGAAGGAAUGCUCAGCUAAUGUUUAGUACCCAUAUGCUUCAUUAAAGUGACCAGAUGUCCUGCAUUUGUCAAGGGAAAAGGGGAAUUGUUUUCUUCUCUCUCAAAUAUCUCCUUCAAAAAGUCUAUCAUGGAUACAUUUUGUGCCUUCACUGCCCUUUUUAAAUAAUUAUUAUUCAUGCCUUACUAUAAGAACAUUACAACUGGUAACAAACUGCUUUUAAACUUGGGGUUUCAGAUUUUCUAAAG
rnacentral:lncRNA from 1 species